rnacentral:RNase_P_RNA from 1 species
ACAGAAAUGCGGUCUGUCGCUUCAUGCCGGGCGCAUGAAGAGGAAAGUCCGGGCAACAUAGAGCAUCACACUUUUGAAAGAAAAGGUGGCGGCGACGUUGCGGAAACUGUGGAAGAAAAUAACCGCCUGUCUUUUUAAGGCAGGUAAGGGUGAGAAGGUGGGGUAAGAGCCCACCGGCUUUGAAGGUGACUUCAAAGGCCGCACAUCCUGUGAGUUGCAAGACCAAAUAUACCGGCAGUCAAGGGCUGCUCGUCCAUUGCCGGGGGGUAGGUUGCUCAUGCUGCAGUGCAAACUGCAGCUUAGAUAAAUGACAGACACCACCUUUCGGUGGCACAUAACUCGGCUUACAGCAUUUCUGUCUUA